rnacentral:rRNA from 1 species
AACGAACGCUGGCGGCAUGCCUAACACAUGCAAGUCGAACGAGACCUUCGGGUCUAGUGGCGCACGGGUGCGUAACGCGUGGGAACCUGCCCUUAGGUUCGGAAUAACUCCCCGAAAGGGGUGCUAAUACCGGAUAAUGUCUUCGGACCAAAGAUUUAUCGCCUUUGGAUGGGCCCGCGUUGGAUUAGCUAGUUGGUAGGGUAAAAGCCUACCAAGGCGACGAUCCAUAGCUGGUCUGAGAGGAUGAUCAGCCACACUGGGACUGAGACACGGCCCAGACUACUACGGGAGGGAGCAGUGGGGAAUAUUGGACAAUGGGCGAAAGCCUGAUCCAGCAAUGACGCGUGAGUGAUGAAGGCCUUAGGGUUGUAAAGCUCUUUUACCCGGGAUGAUAAUGACAGUACCGGGAGAAUAAGCUCCGGCUAACUCCGUG